GUCUCCCCAUCUUCAUGAGAGAUAGUCAUGGAAUCUGACAGCACAGGCUUUGUCAAGAUUUUUCUUUCUAGGAUUCCUUCACCUAACCAGAACUGACUUCAUCAGAGAGUUAUGAUGGUUAACUCUAUCAGUCUUCUACCUGAAUGCCCCAAGAUAUUGAUGAAGUCAACAAAAACAUUGAGCCUCAGAACACAAGAAAUCUUGGACAAACUGGGAGACAGCUUGUCAGUAUCUAAGGUCUCUGUCUUGUCCUGGAGAUGUCCCCCAUCUCCUCAUCCCCAUCAGCUGAGGAUUUCCAUUUGUUUACAUGGCCCUCCAGGAUCUCUCCUGCACUUCCCCAGACUUGAUCCUGAAGCCUCCAUUUCCCUCCCUAUAGUUCCUCUGCACACCCACCUCCCAUCUCUGGUAGACCCACAACUCCUCCAAACUUCAAAAAAGUGCUGACCUUCCAGGGACAUCAACCAAACAUGGCAUAACAGGGAAUGCAUCUGGAAAAGAGACUACCAGCAGAAGAGCAUAAAGGGGCGUGGAAGCCUAAACUGAACGAAGACCAAAGUGUGGACACUUUGCCCCUUCUUAGAAUUUGAAACAAUCACCCAUGGAAGGAGU
rnacentral:lncRNA from 1 species